rnacentral:sRNA from 1 species
CACUUCUGCAGAAUGUUAUACAGUAGGUGAAUUAUGGGAUCGUGCAUUCAUGGAUAUUUCUGGUUCUGAAGAUGAAACAAGAAUAGAUAUGCAAUAUCCUGCUCAGUAUAAAGGUCAAGAGUUAUAUUCACAGCAAGAUGAGGAGCAGCCACAGGGAUGGGUGUCAUGGGCCUGGUCCUUUGUGCCUGCAAUUGUGAGUUAUGACGAUGGCGAGGAAG